rnacentral:rRNA from 1 species
UCCAGGCCCUACGGGGCGCAGCAGGCGCGAAACCUUCGCAAUGCGCGCAAGCGCGACGAGGGGAACUCGAGUGCCACUGUCAUUUUUGACGGUGGCUUUUCUCGAUCCUAAAAAGAUCGGGGAAUAAAAGCUGGGUAAGACGGGUGCCAGCAGCCGCGGUAA